rnacentral:rRNA from 1 species
CCUACGGGUGGCAGCAGUAGGGAAUAUUGCUCAAUGGGGGAAACCCUGAAGCAGCAACGCCGCGUGGAGGAUGAAGGUUUUCGGCUUGUAAACUCCUUUUGUUAGAGAAGAUAAUGACGGUAUCUAACGAAUAAGCACCGGCUAACUCCGUGUCAGCAGCCGCGGUAAUACGGAGGGUGCAAGCGUUACUCGGAAUCACUGGGCGGAACGAGCGCGUAGGCGGGAUAGCAAGUCAGAUGUGAAAUCCUAUGGCUUAACCAUAGAACUGCAUUUGAAACUGUUAUUCUAGAGUAUGGGAGAGGUAGGUGGAAGUCGUGGUGGAGCGGUAAAAUCCGUAGAGAUCAAGAGGAAUACUCGUUGCGAAGGCGACCUGCUAGACCAUAACUGACGCUGAUGCGCGAAAGCGUGGGGAGCGAACAGGAUUAGAUACCCGUGUAGUC